AAGCCUGAUCCAGCAACGCCGCGUGGAGGAUGAAGGCCUUCGGGUUGUAAACUCCUGUUAGGGGGAACGAAGGGCCGCGGGUUAACAGCCGGCGGUCUUGACGGUACCUCCAGAGGAAGCCCCGGCUAACUCUGUGCCAGCAGCCGCGGUAAUACAGAGGGGGCGAGCGUUAUUCGGAAUUAUUGGGCGUAAAGGGCGCGUAGGCGGCUGGGUAAGUCAAAGGUGAAAUCCCUCGGCUCAACCGAGGAACUGCCUUUGAAACUGCCCGGCUUGAGGCCGGGAGAGGGUAGUGGAAUUCCCAGUGUAGCGGUGAAAUGCGUAGAUAUUGGGAGGAACACCGGUGGCGAAGGCGGCUACCUGGACCGGUUCUGACGCUGAGGCGCGAAAGCGUGGGGAGCAAACAGGAUUAGAUACCCUGGUAGUCCACGCUGUAAACGAUGGGUACUCGGUGUCGCGGGUAUCGACCCCUGCGGUGCCUUAGCUAACGCGUUAAGUACCCCGCCUGGGGAGUACGGUCGCAAGGCUGAAACUCAAAG
rnacentral:rRNA from 1 species